rnacentral:tRNA from 1 species
GACCGAAUGGCGUAGUGGUUAGUGACCCUGACUACUGAGCCGAAGGUCCCGGGUUCGAUUCCCGGCUGGGGAAAUAUUUGUUCA